rnacentral:rRNA from 1 species
UACGGGGGAGCAAGCGUUGUUCGGAUUUACUGGGCGUAAAGGGCGCGUAGGCGGCCUACUAAGUCAGACGUGAAAUCCCCCGGCUUAACCUGGGAACUGCGUCUGAUACUGGAAGGCUUGAGGAUGGGAGAGGGAUGUAGAAUUCCAGGUGUAGCGGUGAAAUGCGUAGAUAUCUGGAGGAAUACCGGUGGCGAAGGCGGUUCUCUGGGACGGUACUGACGCUGAGACGCGAAAGCGUGGGGAGCAAACAGG